rnacentral:rRNA from 1 species
GACGAACGCUGGCGGCGUGCUUAACACAUGCAAGUCGAGCGGUAAGGCCCCUUCGGGGGUACACGAGCGGCGAACGGGUGAGUAACACGUGAGCAAUCUGCCCUUCACACGGGGAUAACUCCGGGAAACCGAAGCUAAUACCCGAUACGACCACUUCAGGCAUCUGAUGGUGGUGGAAAGUUCCGGCGGUGAAGGAUGAGCUCGCGGCCUAUCAGCUUGUUGGUGGGGUAAUGGCCCACCAAGGCAACGACGGGUAGCCGGCCUGAGAGGGUGACCGGCCACACUGGGACUGAGACACGGCCCAGACUCCUACGGGAGGCAGCAGUGGGGAAUAUUGCACAAUGGGCGAAAGCCUGAUGCAGCAACGCCGCGUGAGGGAUGACGGCCUUCGGGUUGUAAACCUCUUUCAGCAGGGAAGAAGCGAAAGUGACGGUACCUGCAGAAGAAGCGCCGGCUAACUACGUGCCAGCAGCCGCCGUAAAAC